GCUAACUCUGUGCCAGCAGCCGCGGUAAGACAGAGGGUGCAAACGUUGCUCGGAAUUACUGGGCGUAAAGCGCGUGUAGGCGGACGAGGAAGUCGGGUGUGAAAUCCCUGGGCUCAACCCAGGAACUGCAUCCGAAACUCCUCGUCUAGAGUGCUGGAGAGGGAAGCGGAAUUCCUGGUGUAGAGGUGAAAUUCGUAGAUAUCAGGAGGAACACCGGUGGCGAAGGCGGCUUCCUGGACAGUUACUGACGCUGAGACGCGAAAGCGUGGGGAGCAAACAGGAUUAGAUACCCUGGUAGUC
rnacentral:rRNA from 1 species